rnacentral:ncRNA from 13 species
CGCGGGGUGGAGCAGCUCGGUAGCUCGCUGGGCUCAUAACCCAGAGGUCGCAGGUUCAAAUCCUGUCCCCGCUA